rnacentral:lncRNA from 10 species
GAAGGAAGGAAGGAAAGGGAAAGGGCGGGGAGGAAGGAAGGAAGGAGAGAGAGAGGAGGGAGGAAAGGAAGGAAGGAAAGAAGGAAGGAAGGAAGGAAGGAAGGGAAAGAAAAGGCAUCUCCCCUUGUCACCAGGCUAGAAAUGCAGUGUUAUGGUCAUGGCUCACUGUAGCCUCCACCUCCUAGGCUCAAGCAAUCCUCCUGCCUCAGCCUCCCGAGUAGCUCGGACUACAGGGACACAUGCCAGGCUAAUUUUUUGUUUUGUU